UGUGACACUACCUGUGUUUAUGGGAUGAGAAAUAAACAGGAGCUCACUGUGAGGACAAAGAGGGAGGAGGAUUAUGUGCAUCACUUCAUUGACCCCUCCUCGACCUGACACACACAGCCACGGAGGAAAGAGGCGGAAAACAUGGAGAUCUGACCGACCUGGGGUGCACGUCUCCUGACAAGAUUAAGACACCUCAAUGGAUAAGAUCCAGCGUGCCAUCCUGCUGUUGCUGCUGCCGCCGCCGGUGCUGGGGCUUUUGAAGGUUCAAUUGAAAUUGCCUCGGUGAGCUGAUAAACAGAGUUUUUGGCAGGCAAUGCGAGUGUGCAGGGCAUAAUCUCUCACAGCGGGGAUGCGCUUGAGUGCUGGACAGUGAGAAAUUCGAUUAACGCCUCCUCCGGGGUCUUCCUCUUCCCCCUGAACCCGUCCCCCACUGCAAAGGGUUGGAUCCAGCUCUGGAUAUGAACCUCCUCAACCGCUACUGGCUAAUGAUAAAUGUUCCCUGGCCUGAAAACCAUCUGCUGGUGACAAGGCCUUUAAAGCAAACGCCGUGCUGGCAGAGACGGCUGACAGGCUGGCUGGUUGCUGAAUGCUAGUGUGUUUUCAUCGGUUUAUAAAUCUGUGUUUUGACAUUCUUUACACCUGACAAUAACAUGUGCCCAGGGUAAUCAUACAGCAGUCAGAUUCUACAAACUAAAAAUGCAUUAAUUCAAGGUGUUAAUGCUAGGCCGAUGCACGAAAAAGCAGAUCAACCAAACUGCUCUCUGGGAGGCGAGCAGAGACGCGCUUUACCACCGGAGCGUGAGUUCAACACGUCUCCGGUGCCUCACACUGAGAUACACAGACACAAAUUAACUUUUACGCAUGAAUCCAGACGGGUGUUUGCAAGCAGCAGACAGCUCCUGCACUGACUUUACACCUUGCUGGUUUCUCUCUUCAACUUCUGUUUUUAACUUUUCUCUGAUCACUGCUGGGUCUGUCCUUACAAACACUGUAUCUCUGAUCGCAGAGGAGAUCCAAAGGUUGUAUCCAAACUAAAUGAAACUGUGGAAAGUAAA